UCCAGGGUAGCCUAGUGGACAUGGCAUCUGCCCGGUAAGCGGAACAUUGUGGGUUCGACUCCCAUCCCUGGAA
rnacentral:tRNA from 1 species